rnacentral:rRNA from 1 species
CGGGUCAGGGACAGUGCCUGAUGGGGAGUUUAACUGGGGCGGUUGCCUCCCAAAAAUGUAACGGAGGCGCCCAAAGGUUCCCUCAGCCUGGUUGGCAAUCAGGUGUCGAGUGCAAGUGCACAAGGGAGCUUGACUGUGAGAGUGGCAGCUCGAGCAGGGACGAAAGUCGGGACUAGUGAUCCGGCGGCUCGUUGUGGAACGGCCGUCGCUCAACGGAUAAAAGGUACCUCGGGGAUAACAGGCUGAUCUUGCCCAAGAGUCCAUAUCGACGGCAUGGUUUGGCACCUCGAUGUCGGCUCGUCGCAUCCUGGGGCUGGAGUAGGUCCCAAGGGUUGGGCUGUUCGCCCAUUAAAGCGGUACGCGAGCUGGGUUCAGAACGUCGUGAGACAGUUCGGUCCCUAUCCUCUGCGCGCGUGGAAAAUUUUGAGAAGGUCUGUCCUUAGUACGAGAGGACCGGGGACGGACGAACCUCUGGUAUGUCAGUUGUACCGCCAGGUGCAUGGCUGAUUGCUACGUUCGGGAUGGAUAACCGCUGAAAGCAUCUAAGCGGGAAGCCGGCUUCGAGAUGAGAUUUCCUUGCCCCCUUUGAGGGUGUGAGGCCCCCAGCUAGAACACUGGGUUGAUAGGCUGGAUGUGGAAGCGAGGACUGA